GGAAUAUUGCUGCCAGUACUAAUAUUUCCGAUUUUAGUGGAUGACACACUUUCUUUAUUGAAAUUCGAUUCUUAUUGAAACUCUUUCACUUUCGAGCUCAAGGAUAAACAAGUUUCUUUCGAGCUCAAGCUUGUGGCUUUUACAAUGAUUUUCAUGAGCCGAUCUUAAUUCACUGACCUUAACUAGCCGUGCUGUACCAUGUAGGUGUCGUCUCGUCUCGACUACUCCCCUAGUCACUACGCUACAGCAUCUCAAUCCAUUACUAUGUCCCAAAUCCAAACGCUGGAUGGAUACUACAAAAUUUCUUUAUUUUUGGGUUCUACAUAACUAAACCGAGGAAUACGGUGUUUCUCCUCUGCACCUAUAGUCAAGAGACAUGAUGCUGUUACUCUUGAGACGGGUGAUGGCAUAGCCCUAAUGGUCCAUGUAUUUGACUGAAGCAUCAAGUGCAAAGAAGCAAAAAAACUGAUGUGCAGAUACAGAGCAUGGAGUCUGCUGGUGGUCCGUUAACAAGAAGUAAAGCUCGAUUAAUGGCAACUAAGAAGAGCAGGAACAAGUGACUCGAACAACAAGUGGGUUCUGGGGAAUGAAUGCAGAGUGAUAGUAAAUAGGUCAGAAUUCCAAGCUGAAUCCACACAAAGUAACUAGGUUUAGCUGAGAAUGUUAAAAUACAUGACCGAAGCAUGUUUAGGUCUUCUAACAGUAGUCCACUUACGCGUCUGGCCUUGAGAUUGCAGCUCCUUAUAGCGUUAUGGCUGCAAAUUUCAAUAAUUUGUAAAGAAAUGUAGUUCACGGUGUUUAUAUAUGAGAUGCUAAAAACGGUGUUCCUCUCUCGUCGAUGAAGUUGUACAAACUUAAAUCCUUGUUGUUUCCCUGCUGAUGAAAUGAAAUCUGAUCAAUAUUCUCACAA